CCUACGGGGGGCAGCAGUGGGGAAUUUUUGUCAAUGGGGGAAACCCUGAACAAGCAACGCCGCGUGGAGGACGAAGACCCUCGGGUCGUAAACUCCUGUCGGAGGGGACGAAAGCGCUCGGGAUUAAUACCCUCGGGUGUUGACGGUACCCUACGAGGAAGCCCCGGCUAACUCCGUGCCAGCAGCCGCGGU
rnacentral:rRNA from 1 species